AACGAACGCUGGCGGCAUGCCUAACACAUGCAAGUCGAACGAAGCCUUCGGGCUUAGUGGCGCACGGGUGCGUAACGCGUGGGAAUCUGCCCUUGGGUUCGGAAUAACAGUUAGAAAUGACCGCUAAUACCGGAUGAUGUCUUCGGACCAAAGAGUUAGCGCCGAAGGAUGAGCCCGCGUAGGAUUAGGUAGUUGGUGGGGUAAUGGCCCACCAAGCCGACGAUCCUUAGCUGGUCCGAGAGGAUGAUCAGCCACACUGGGACUGAGACGCGGCCCAGACUCCUACGGGAGGCAGCAGUGGGGAAUAUUGGACAAUGGGCGAAAGCCUGAUCCAGCAAUGCCGCGUGAGUGAUGAAGGCCUUAGGGUUGUAAAGCUCUUUUACCAGGGAUGAUAAUGACAGUACCUGGAGAAUAAGCUCCGGCUAACUCCGUGCCAGCAGCCGCCGUAACAC
rnacentral:rRNA from 1 species